rnacentral:rRNA from 1 species
AUUGAACGCUGGCGGAAUGCUUUACACAUGCAAGUCGAACGGUAGAGGGGCAACCCUUGAGAGUGGCGAACGGGUGAGUAAUGUAUCGGAACGUGCCCAGUCGUGGGGGAUAACGUAGCGAAAGUUACGCUAAUACCUCUUACGAUCUAUGGAUGAAAGCGGGGGAUCGCAAGACCUCGCGCGAUUGGAGCGGACGAUAUCAGAUUAGGUAGUUGGUGGGGUAAAGGCCUACCAAGCCGACGAUCUGUAGCUGGUCUGAGAGGACGACCAGCCACACUGGGACUGAGACACGGCCCAGACUCCUACGGGAGGCAGCAGUGGGAAAUUUUGGACAAUGGACGAAAGUCUGAUCCAGCCAUUCCGCGUGCAGGAUGAAGGCCUUCGGGUUGUAAACUGCUUUUGUACGAAACGAAAAGGCUCUGGUUAAUACCUGGAGCUCAUGACGGUACCGUAAGGAUAAGCACCGGCUAACUACGUGCCAGCCGCCGCCGUAAAAC